rnacentral:rRNA from 1 species
CGAUCGCCCGCGAGGGCGGUCACGAAGCCCUGACGAGUAGGAGGGUCGCGGCGGUGAGCGCAGAAGGGCUGGCCGCGAGGCCGUCUGGAGCCGCCGUCGGUGCAGAUCUUGGUGGUAGUAGCAAAUACUCCAGCGAGGCCCUGGAGGACUGACGUGGAGAAGGGUUUCGUGUGAACAGCCGUUGCACACGAGUCAGUCGAUCCUAAGCCCUAGGCGAAAGCCGAUGUCGAUGCGGUGUAGUUUUUACCAAAUAUAUAUAUAUAUAUAUAUAGAGCGAGAACACACCCGUCGGGCGAAAGGGAAUCCGGUUCCUAUUCCGGAACC